rnacentral:rRNA from 1 species
AUGGGGAGGAGAAAGGGCAACGAGAAACAUGGGGAUGCAGCCCGGAUGAGAGGAUGGCAUCUAGGGUUUUUACCUCCUGCUCUUAUCCCCUGGCCAGUCAGCGCUCUUCAACAAGCUGCUUCCCACAACGCACACAACCUCUUCCCCAUCGCUGCUCCUUCCCCACCUCUGUUCCUCCCCUCAACUGCACAAGAUGCAAACUGUCCUCCGCAACCUGGAGCGAUGCCCAACGAGGAGAGCGGCAGAGGCCAGUAUGGAAGGGGAAGAGAAGGGGCUCGUGGCAGGGGCGGGGAUGGAGGAAGGAAAGGGCGGUGGCGCGGUCUUCCCCGCGGCUGCACCCCAUCGCUACCGGAGCGCAGUCCCCGCUGCUCUUCUCUGGCACGGAUCCACCGCCCAUGUGCAUCUCCUUUGCUAGCGCCGCCGGAGUGA